UCAAUUCCUGCAUGUCCAGCGGUAGGGGC
rnacentral:sRNA from 1 species